rfam:Triticum aestivum genome assembly, contig: Triticum_aestivum_CS42_TGACv1_scaffold_148660_2BS
AAAGUACUCCCUCCGUCCCAAAAUUCUUGUCUUAGAUUUGUCUAGAUACGGAUGCAUCAAGUCACAUUUUAGUAUUAGAUACAUCCGUAUCUAGACAAAUCUAAGACAAGAAAUUUGGGACAGAGGGAGUAGUUG